AGGACGAACGCUGGCGGCGUGCUUAACACAUGCAAGUCGAACGAGGCGCUUGCGCCUAGUGGCGAACGGGUGAGUAACACGUGAGCAACCUGCCCUUGGCUCUGGGAUAGCCUCCGGAAACGGGGAUUAAUACCGGACAUGACCUUCUCCUGCAUGGGGGAGGGUGGAAAGUUUUUCGGCCAGGGAGGGGCUCGCGGCCUAUCAGCUUGUUGGGGGGGUAACGGCCCACCAAGGCGACGACGGGUAGCCGGCCUGAGAGGGCGACCGGCCACACUGGGACUGAGACACGGCCCAGACUCCUACGGGAGGCAGCAGUGGGGAAUAUUGCACAAUGGGGGAAACCCUGAUGCAGCGACGCCGCGUGCGGGAUGAAGCCUUCGGGUUGUAACCGCUUUCAGCAGGGCGAAUUCGAGACGGUACCUGCAGAAGAAGCGCCGGCUAACUACGCGCCAGCCAGCCGC
rnacentral:rRNA from 1 species